CCUACGGGAGGCUGCAGUGGGGAAUAUUUCACAAUGGGGGAAACCCUGAUGCAGCGACGCCGCGUGAGUGAAGAAGUAUUUCGGUACGUAAAGCUCUAUCAGCAGGGAAGAAAAAAAGUCCUUUGGACUUUGGACGGUACCUGACUAAGAAGCCCCGGCUAACUACGUGCCAGCAGCCGCGGUAAUACGUAGGGGGCAAGCGUUAUCCGGAUUUACUGGGUGUAAAGGGAGCGUAGACGGCAGCGCAAGUCUGGAGUGAAAUGCCGGGGACCAACCCCGGAACUGCUUUGGAGACUGUGCAGCUGGAGUGCAGGAGAGGUAAGCGGAAUUCCUAGUGUAGCGGUGAAAUGCGUAGAUAUUAGGAGGAACACCAGUGGCGAAGGCGGCUUACUGGACUGUGACUGACGUUGAGGCUCGAAAGCGUGGGGAGCAAACAGGAUUAGAUACCCCGGUAGUC
rnacentral:rRNA from 1 species